rfam:Salmonella enterica subsp. arizonae serovar 62:z4,z23:--, complete genome.
AUAAUAGAACACCAAAAUGUCGUAUUCUGACAUGGUUGCGAAGGGAGUAUCGCUCCCUUCAUUUU